GCCCCACUCACCCCCACCAGUCAUGGACCUGGACAAGCAAGAGGAGGAGGGCCGACCCCGUCGCAGACGAACGCCCCGCUUUCUCUUAAAGCCCUGAGCUCACUACACACAGGCCACUCUAAUCAGGCAGGGCCACCAGAUGCUGAAUUGCAGACGGAGGUGUUGGAGCUGUGUGGUGCUCCUUGUCCCAGCCCAAGCCCACAGAGGGAGCAGCUGUUCAGCCACUUAUCUCCACUCCCCUCUCUGAGGGACCUGCAGGAGGAUCCCUCUCUGAACUGUCAUAGCCAAGGCCGCUGUCCCACCUCUCCCCCUGCCCAGCUCCACCCCUCCCCCCGGCCCUGCGGCAGCCCCACAUCCUCCUCAGCAGAGCCUCAUCUCCUGGGUUCUGGCUUCUACCAGCUGCAGCUGGGGCCCUUCCUUCCAGACGGCCUGUCCAUGGGGCCAGAGGGUGGGGCCUCUCAGAGGCUGCAGGUGGACUUCUCCCUGCCCUCCGUCCCCCAGCCCCCACCCUUGCCUGCCAUUGCCCCAUCCUCCUCUGUCACUUCUGACUUUGGGGCCAUCAGCAGUUACCUGUGUCCCUCGGCCCUGUGCCCCCCUCCCGUCCAGCACUCCCGCUCUCUCACCCAGUGAGGGGAGGAAGAAGGGUGUCUUUACCCUGGAGAACAUUCCAAUAAUGCCUGGGUUGUUUGUACUUCUAAGUACUGCCAGUUGAAGCUAACUUGGACCAGAGGUCAUCCAUGUGAUGGUGUGAAGCUCCCCAGGAGAGAAACUGUCUUUUUGCGUGGGAGAUAGGCCUACCUGUAUCAGAGUGUUUACUAGGGGACACCCACUGCUCACAAGCACAAUGGCUUACCUACCUGUCUAUUCUGGAAGGGCAGUAGUUCUACCGAGACGUUCCCAGUUCUUAGAGAAUUCUUAGAUAUAAUGUUGGGACUGGAAAAGCUGGUGGGCUCGUUGAUGGCUCCAAGGCCAAAACAUUUAGCCUGAUGUUUGUUGCAGUGGCCUCGUCCAGAGCAGAACUAGAGACUGUGAUUUAACCUCCCUCACUGAUUUCCCAACAUUUACUGGGAACAGUGAGCAGCAGACAGACAACAUGACCUGGAGUCCUUGAUGCUGUAUUAUAGCAGAUGUCCACAAGAGAUGUUCUCCCUCUAUAUCAGUUCUGAUAAGGUUGUUUUUACAAGCAGGGUUCAGUCUGCACUUGUAUGACUUAUCACAACUCUGACUGUGGACCUCUUAGGUAGGAUCUGCCUCCCUGGUUCACUGUGAGAGCUUCCACCUCUCUUGAACAUCUACAACUGAAACUGAAGGUUUUGUAUGCAGUACGUUUAAGAGGAAAGAUCUGUAUAGGAAUACCAUGAAACUAUGCUUUUGAGAUUGUCACAAUGUUUUUAUUUUAUUGUUCUUUGUUCCCAGUUGUUCAGGUAUUCAUUGGCAGGUUUGCAAUAAGGAACCUGAGUUUGUGAUGGGAGUCCUUGUGUUCUCUCUUUCCAGUUUAUGUUGACGUUUAAAGGUCUUGUACAGUACCAAACUCCCACAAUUGCCUGACAACCACGGUAGGCACGUUAGCCUGUGUUUUGCGCAUUAUUGUACAUGCUACUGUAGGUAAGUCACUGAAUACACAGGUACUGUAGCCUCUGGCUUCUUCCCUGUCUCUCAACUCCAGUUUUUGUGUGAUUUAAGGUUUGAAUAUUGCCCUUAACCACCCAUCCGACCUUGUGGAUAACAGUCAUGGAAAAAGCCCAAAGGCAUUGAAGGACAUCGACCCAAAGGGGGUGUGUUCAGAAGGGUG
rnacentral:lncRNA from 8 species